rnacentral:rRNA from 1 species
CACGUAGGGUGCGAGCGUUGUCCGGAAUUAUUGGGCGUAAAGCGCACGUAGGCGGAUCUUUAAGUCAGGGGUGAAAUCCCAAGGCUCAACCUUGGAACUGCCUUUGAUACUGGGGAUCUCGAGUCCGGAAGAGGUGAGUGGAACUGCGAGUGUAGAGGUGAAAUUCGUAGAUAUUCGCAAGAACACCAGUGGCGAAGGCGGCUCACUGGUCCGGUACUGACGCUGAGGUGCGAAAGCGUGGGGAGCAAACAGG